rnacentral:rRNA from 1 species
UGACAUUGCGGGCUGCCUAAUAAUGCAAGUCGAACGCUUCUUUCCUCCCGAGUGCUUGCACUCAAUUGGAAAGAGGAGUGGCGGACGGGUGAGUAACACGUGGGUAACCUACCCAUCAGAGGGGGAUAACACUUGGAAACAGGUGCUAAUACCGCAUAACAGUUUAUGCCGCAUGGCAUAAGAGUGAAAGGCGCUUUCGGGUGUCGCUGAUGGAUGGACCCGCGGUGCAUUAGCUAGUUGGUGAGGUAACGGCUCACCAAGGCCACGAUGCAUAGCCGACCUGAGAGGGUGAUCGGCCACACUGGGACUGAGACACGGCCCAGACUCCUACGGGAGGCAGCAGUAGGGAAUCUUCGGCAAUGGACGAAAGUCUGACCGAGCAACGCCGCGUGAGUGAAGAAGGUUUUCGGAUCGUAAAACUCUGUUGUUAGAGAAGAACAAGGACGUUAGUAACUGAACGUCCCCUGACGGUAUCUAACCAGAAAGCCACGGCUAACUACGUGCCAGCAGCCGCGGUAAUACGUAGGUGGCAAGCGUUGUCCGGAUUUAUUGGGCGUAAAGCGAGCGCAGGCGGUUUCUUAAGUCUGAUGUGAAAGCCCCCGGCUCAACCGGGGAGGGUCAUUGGAAACUGGGAGACUUGAGUGCAGAAGAGGAGAGUGGAAUUCCAUGUGUAGCGGUGAAAUGCGUAGAUAUAUGGAGGAACACCAGUGGCGAAGGCGGCUCUCUGGUCUGUAACUGACGCUGAGGCUCGAAAGCGUGGGGAGCAAACAGGAUUAGAUACCCUGGUAGUCCACGCCGUAAACGAUGAGUGCUAAGUGUUGGAGGGUUUCCGCCCUUCAGUGCUGCAGCAAACGCAUUAAGCACUCCGCCUGGGGAGUACGACCGCAAGGUUGAAACUCAAAGGAAUUGACGGGGGCCCGCACAAGCGGUGGAGCAUGUGGUUUAAUUCGAAGCAACGCGAAGAACCUUACCAGGUCUUGACAUCCUUUGACCACUCUAGAGAUAGAGCUUUCCCUUCGGGGACAAAGUGACAGUGGUGCAUGGUUGUCGUCAGCUCGUGUCGUGAGAUGUUGGGUUAAGUCCCGCAACGAGCGCAACCUAUGUAGUGCCAUCAUUAGUGGGCACCCCUAGCGAGACUGCCGUGAAAAACCGGGGAGAAGGGUGGGGGAUGAACGUUCC